GAUGAACGCUGGCGGCGUGCCUAAUACAUGCAAGUCGAACGAAGAUCUAGCUUGCUAGAUCUUAGUGGCGAACGGGUGAGUAAUACAUAAAUAAUCUGCCCAUAUGACUGGGAUAACUAUUGGAAACGAUAGCUAAUACCGGAUAGGUUGAUCGGAGGCAUCUCUGAUGAAUUAAAGUAGGAUUUCUACACAAAUGGAUGAGUUUAUGGCGCAUUAGUUAGUUGGUGGGGUAACGGCCUACCAAGACGAUGAUGCGUAGCCGACCUGAGAGGGUGACCGGCCACACUGGGACUGAGACACGGCCCAGACCCCUACGGGAGGCAGCAGUAGGGAAUUUUCGGCAAUGGGUGCAAGCCUGACCGAGCAACGCCGCGUGAGUGAUUAAGGCCUUCGGGUUGUAAAGCUCUGUUGUAAGGGAAGAACAUUCAGGAUAGGAAAUGAUCUUGAACUGACGGUACCUUACCAGAAAGCCACGGCUAACUACGUGCCAGCCGCCGCAGUAA
rnacentral:rRNA from 1 species